AUUGAACGCUGGCGGCAUGCCUUACACAUGCAAGUCGAACGGUAACAGGUCUUCGGAUGCUGACGAGUGGCGAACGGGUGAGUAAUACAUCGGAACGUGCCUAGUAGUGGGGGAUAACUACUCGAAAGAGUGGCUAAUACCGCAUGAGAUCUACGGAUGAAAGAAGGGGAUCGUAAGACCUUGUGCUACUAGAGCGGCCGAUGGCAGAUUAGGUAGUUGGUGGGAUAAAAGCUUACCAAGCCGACGAUCUGUAGCUGGUCUGAGAGGACGAUCAGCUACACUGGGACUGAGACACGGCCCAGACUCCUACGGGAGGCAGCAGUGGGGAAUUUUGGACAAUGGGCGCAAGCCUGAUCCAGCAAUGCCGCGUGCAGGAUGAAGGCCUUCGGGUUGUAAACUGCUUUUGUACGGAACGAAAAGCCCUGGGUUAAUACCCUGGGGUCAUGACGGUACCGUAAGAAUAAGCACCGGCUAACUACGUGCCAGCAGCCGCGGUAACAC
rnacentral:rRNA from 1 species